rnacentral:lncRNA from 1 species
GCGUCCGGACGCGCGACAGCUUCCACCCGCCUCAGGCAGUAUCAGCCGCGCCGCAGUCGGAGGAAAUAGACGCGGGGCCUGAGGCUCCUGGACUUGAGGUAUUAGGCUGGUGCAGAAGUAAUUGCGGCGGCCGGGUGCGGGGGCUCAGGCCUGCAAUCCCAGCACUUUGGGAGGCCGAGGCGGGCGGAUCACCUGAGUCAGGAAGAGUUCAAGACCAUCCUGGCCGACAUGGUGAAACCCCAUCUCUACUGAAAAUACAAAAAUUAGCCGGGCGUGGUGGCGCGUGCCUGUAACCCCAGCUGCUCUGGAGGCUGAGGCAGAAUAAUCUAUUGAACCCAGGAGGCCGAGGUUGCAGUGAGCCGAGAUCGCGCCACUGCACUCCAGCCUGGCGACAGAGCGAGACUGCGUCUCAAAAAAAGAAAAAAAAAAAAAAAGGAAGGAAGGAAAGAGACUUAGGCUGCAUUCCCCGCUUUUAAAAAUAUAUAUUUAUUUUUAUUUUUUUAAACGAAGUCUCGCUCUGUCACUCAGGCUGGAGUGCAGAGGCGCGAUCUCGGCUCACUGCAACCUCCACCUCCCAGGUUCAAGCAAUUCUGCCUCAGCCUCCCAAGCAGCAGGGAUUACAGGCGCGCCCCACCACGACCGGCUAAUUUUUUUUGUAUUUUUAUUAGAGACGGGGUUUCACCAUAUUGGCCAGGCUGGUCUCCAACUCCUGACCUCAGGUGAUCGCCCACCUCGGUCUCCCGAAGUGCUGGGAUGACAGGCGUGAGCCAUCGUACUCUGCCGCAUUCCCUGCUUAUAAGCACCAGUCCCUGGUCCUGUUUUAGAAGGCUGUUGUAUCUUGGCCUCUGCUAGCUUCAAAAACUAAGGCCCGAUGAGGUAGCUCGUGCCUGUAAUCCCUGUUUACAGGAGAGGCUGAAAGGGCAGGGAUUCCUUUUUUUUUUUUUCCCACUUGAGACAGGGUCUUGCUCUGUUUCUCAGGCUGGAGUGCAGUGGCACACUCACCGCUCACUUCAGCCUCGACCUCUUGGACUCAAGCAGUCCUCCCACCUCAGCCUCUGGAGUACCUGGAACUACAGGCGAAUGCCACCGCGCGUGGCUAAUCUUUUUAAUUUUUGUAGAGAUAGGAUCUGGCUAUGCUGCCCAGGCUACUAUUGAACUCUUGGGCUCAAGUGAUUAUCCCACCUCAGCCUUCCGAAGUGCUGGGACUACAGGCAUGAGCCAUCACAGCCAGCUGGGAUAUUGUUUUUCGAAUCGCUGUCAUGUUCUGUACUAUAUGCAGUUCCUGAAAGAAUGGAGGCAAGAAGGAGUCAGCUAACCACUGUGAACUGUCUUAGUGCCAAGGACCCACCCUUCUCUCCUUGGGGUCCUGCUGACCCAUCAGAAUAGGGCUGAGCCAGGAUGGGGCUUGUGGAGAUGAUGUGUAUGAGUGUGCAUGCACUUGUGUGUGCAUGCCUAACAUCCAAAACUAGAUAUAAAUUCUUUAAACUUUUCAUUAGUUGGCCAGGCACGGUGACUCGCACCUGUGAUCCCAGCACUUUGGGAGGCCGAGGCGGGCGGAUCAUGAGGUUAGGAGAUCAAGACCAUCCUGGCUAACAUUGUGAAACCCGGUCUCUACUAAAAAUACAAAAAUUAGCUGGGUGUGGUGGCAUGUGCCUGUAAUCCCAGCUACUUGGGAGGCUGAGGCAGGAGAAUUGCUUGAACCAGGGAGUCGGAGCUUGCAGUGAGCCGAGAUCACACCACUGCACUCCAGCAUGAGACUCUGUAUCAAAAAAAAAAAAAAAAAAAAAAAUUCUGCGUGAGUUGUGUGGAGGUGUCAGUACCUUUCCCCAGCAAGAGAAGCUUCUCCAUAUCAGGCAUAUCCUAGCCAUGACCCUGAAACUAACCAGCCAAGAGGGAAAUGUGAGACAAGCCCAGGCAAGCUUCCUGGAUGUUGUAUGCAGGAAUAGGAUGUGCUCUCUGGACUUGGAGACUUCCUGCCUGCUCAAGAGGCUGUGCCUCCUUGUGUCUCCCACAGGCCUCUGUGUCCACCUUCCCCACCCUGGCAGGCCUGCUAGGCCAGCAGCCCUGGAGAGGAAAGGGUGAGGUGGUGUUUGAAGGGACCUGCCUCCUACGAGCUCUGCUGGUUGGACUGUCGGAUGACAGAACCGUGCCUCUGAGCCUGGGAGAGGGAGGCACCCCUGUGUUCUGGAAGCCCCCAGUGCUUCAGCAACUCCUCACUGAGGCAGAAUAGUGGAGGAAUCAAGCUGGGAUCCAGGGGACUGAGGAGGGGAUAGAGCAGCACCUGGGCCCCACAUUCCCUUCCAACAGAGCCUGGGGUGCUGUGUUUCCGGGAGGGUUUUUUUUGUUUUUUGUUUUCCCGAGACAGAAUCUCGCUCUGACCCCCAGCCUGGAGUGCAGUGGCAUGAUCUCGGCUCACUGCAACCUCCGCCUCUCGGGUUCAAGCAAUUCUCCUGCCUCAGCCUCCCGAGUAGCUGGGAUUACAGGUGCACACCACCACACCUGGCUAAUUUUUGUAUUUUUUAUAGAGACGGGGUUUCACCAUGUUGGCUAGGCUGGUCGUGAACUUCUGACCUCAUGAUCUGCCUGCCUCAGACUCCUAAAGUGCUGGGAUUACAGGUGUGAGCCACUGCACCCGGCCUCUUUUUUUUUUUUUUUUUUUUUUUUUGUGAGACAGAGUCUCUGUCCCCCAGGCUGGAGUUCAGUGGUGCAAUCUCGGCUCACUGCAACCUCUGUCUCCUGGUUUCAAGCAAUUCUCCUGCUUCAGCCUCUGAAUAGCUGGGAUUACCGACAUGCACCACCACGCCCAUAUAAUUUUUGUAUUUUUUGUAGAGCUGAAGUUUCACUAUGUUGGCCAGGCUGGUCUCAAACUCCUGACUUCUGGUGAUCCACCCACCGUGGCCUCCCAAAGUGCUGGGAUUGCAGGUGUGAGCCACCGUGCCCGGCCAGAGCCUGGGGUUCUCAAACUCGUUUCUGGGGACCGCCCACCACUUUUCUUGCCAGUGCCCAUCUUCCAGGUUCCUCCCAGGCUGCUUCUGCCUGCCUUGUCCUCUUCCUGCCUGUCACACCACACUCUCCCACCAGCAUCUUCCUCAUUCCGCUCUGACUCUCCUCACCACCCAGCCCGACCUGACUGAAAACCCCGCAGUGGGAGAGCAGGAGGCCCCUGCUUCUAGGUGCCGUGUGAGAAGCAGCUGUGAGGUCGGGUUGGGUGGCUCACGCCUGUAAUCCCAGCACUUUGGGAGGCCGAGGUGGGCGGGUCACAAGGUCAGGAGUUCAAGACCAGCCUGGCCAAUAUGGUGAAAACCCAUCUCUACUAAAAGUACAAAAAAAAUAGCCAGGUGUGGUGGCGGGUGCCUGUAAUCCCAGCCACUCAGGAGGCUGAAGCAGGAGAAUCGCUUGAACUUGGGAGGCAGAGGGUGCAGUGAGCCGAGAUCAUGCCACUGCACUCCAGCCUGGGCAACAGAGCGAGACUCCAUAAAAAAGAAAAAGAGAUUUAAUUGGCUCACAGUUCUGCAGGGGUUACAGGAAGCAUAGCACCCACAUCACUCAGCUUCUGGGGAGGCCUCAGAGAGCUUUUACUCAUGGCAGCAGGUGAAGAGGGAGCAGGCGAGUCACAUAGUGAGAGCAGGAGCAGGCGAGAGAGAGGCCAGAGGUGCCACACGCUUCUAAAUGACCAGAUCUCGCGGGAACCCACUAUCACAAAGACAGCUCUGAGCCGUGAGGGAUCCGCCUCAUGAUCCACACACCUUCUGCCAGGCCCCACCUCUAGCACUGGGGAUCACAAUUCAACAUGAGAUUUGGGUGAGGACAGAUAUCCAAACUGUGUGGACAGAGGUGAUGCUCCUCUACUUGUUGAACUCUUGAACACUAGUGAAGAGAAUGCUGGUGUAUUAGUCUGCCAGGCUGCUGUUGCAGAAUACCAUGAACUGGGCACUUAAGCAACUGAAAUAGAUUUUCUCACAGUGCUGGAGGCUAGAAGUCCAAGAUCCAGGUGCCAGCAGGUUUGGUAUCUCCUGAGGCCUCGCCCCUGCGCUUGCAGACAGCCGCCUUCUCACUGGGUCCUUACAGGGCCUUUUUCUUUGAGCCAGUGUAGAGAGCUCUGUUCUUUCUUCCUCUUUUUAUAAGCACACCAGUCCUAUUUAAUUAGGGUCCCACCCUAUGGCCUCAUUUAAUCAUUUGUUGUUGUGUUUUUUUUUUUUGAGACGAGGUCUCACUGUGUUGCCCAGGUUAGUCUCAAACCCCUGGUCACAAGUGAUCUUCCCACAUUGGCCUCCCAAAGUGCUCAGAUUACAGGUGUGAGCCAUUGCGCCCAGUCUCAUUUAACCUUAAUUACUAAUUUAAAGGUGCCAUCAUGGCCAGGCGCGGUGGCUCACACCUGUAAUCCCAGCACUUUUGGAGGCCAAGGUGGGCGGAUCACUUGCAGCCAGGAGUUCGAGACCAGCCUGGCCAACAUGGUGAAACCCCCGUCUCUACUAAAAAUACAAAAAUUAGCUGGGUGUGGUGGCACAUGCCUGUAAUCCCAGCUACUCAGGAGGCUGAGGCAGGAGAAUCACUUGAACCUGGGAGGUGGAGGUUGCAGUGAGCCGAGAUCACGCCACUGCACUCCAGCCUGGGUGACAGAGCGAGACUGUCUCAAAAAAAAAAAAAAAAAGUGCCACCACCAAAGACUGUCAUAUUGGGGGUUAGGGCUUCAACCUACAGAUUUGGAGGAAACACUAUUUAGUCCACAAUAACUGGAGAAGUUGAAUUUAGAAGAUGGGGGUUGGGGCCAGGCACAGUGACUCAUGCCUGUAAUCCAGCGCUUUGGGAGACCAAGGUGGGAGGAUCACUUGAGGUCAGGAGUUCAAGACCAGACUGGGCAAUAUAGCGAGACUCCCUCUCUACAGAAAAUUUAAAAAUUAGCCAGGUGUAGUGGUGUGUGCCUGUAGUCCCAGCUACUCGGAGGCUAAGGCAGGAGGAUCGCUUGAGUGCAUGGGUUGUAGGUUACAGUAAGCUAUGAUUGUGCCACUGUACUCCAGACAGGGGAACAGAGCAAGACCCUGUCUCAGCAACAACAAAACAACAGGGAGAUAGGGGGUCAGGUGCUGACUUCACCUUAACUUCACUGUGUGCUUUUACAGCAAGCCUGUUACCCUCUGUGAGCCUCAACUUCUCUAUGUGUAACAAAUGGCCAACUUUAUGGGAUUGUCAAGAAGCUGAAAUGAGACCCUGGCUGGAGGAUAUUUUAUGGACUAUAAAUUCCUAAACAAUUAUAAUAACUUAGUUAUUUAUCCUAUCCAUGGAUCACCUGGAAGUUUACAAUGUGAUUUAAAAUGCAUUCUAUCAUUCCACCGACCUGCAGUGAAUUUUGUUGUCAUUAUUACUCCAGGGAUACCUAAAGGGGAAGUUUGUUUAUAAUUCGUACCCACUCCUUGUAGAAAGGAUUCAAGACAGCCGAUGAUGAAAACACCCAUGCUUGCAAGUGAAGGUUCUGCCUGUCACUUCUCGCAGAGGCUGCAGAAAAGGCCCAGGAGGCUGUUGAUGACAUGAACGACCACCAGGAGAAGCUGGAGCAGGCUGAUGCACAGAAGGGCGGAGAAGAGGGACACGUGCCAGACAACAGCUGCAGAGGGCUCCAGGCAGACGGAGUUCCAGAGCGAACGGUCAUACAGAUAAUUCCUAUCCCAAAAAAUAAGGAGACCAGGGGUCAGGCGAUAAGUAAGGAAAGCCAAACAGGCAACCCCAGUAGAAAACUGGGGUCUCCCCUGACCGGGUCAUGGGACUGGGCUCAUGAGGGUGACCGUUACUGCUCCAUUUGCAAUUUUCUGAGUAUCAGAGGAGCAAGAUGCUAGGAUGUGUGACCCAAAGGAGCUUGUAGUUCGUCUGUGUGUCUUUUUGUCUCUCUCUCUCUCUCUGUCUGAAAAGACCAAGCCCAAGCCUCCACCCAUUUACCUACUAUGCAGGUCUUUGAAUGGGUAACCAUAUUUCCAAGCUUGUGUCUGAUUGAAGGAUGAAACAUCAAACAUGCAAAAAGGACCAUCUUUCAGAGCAACUCCAGAAGUGACAAAGCAAAUCAGGGCUCCAAGUAAAGCCAGGCCACCUGACAACAGAGCACCAUUCAGCCUCUGAGCUAAAGAAGAAGCUACCACAGGCCCACCACUGACUCUUCUAAGGAAAAGCUGCAUUUUCAAAAGUUCCAGGUUCCCAACUCUGAUUCUUCUCUAUUUCAAAUCAAGGAUAAAAAAAAGGAAGGGAGGGAAGGAAGGAAAGAAAGAAGCAGGAAAGAAGGGAAGGAGAGAAGUGGGAGGGAGGGAAAGAAGGGAGAGAAACAGCGAGAGAGAAGCUGCAGCCAAGCUCUGAAAUGACUCCACUUCUGUCGCUGUGUUUCUCCAGCUGAGAGCUUUCUUGGCCAUCAGUCUGUGCUCCCACUGCCCUCCCAGAAAAUAACUGGGUUUCCUUCCUUGACAGGUUUCUAGCCUGCUUCUACAUUGGCUUCUUUCUCGUUCCUUCCUUCCUUCCCUUCCUUCCUUCUUUCUCUCUCUCUCUUUCUUUUUGAGACAGAGUCUCACUCUGUCGCCCAGGCUGGAGUGCAGUGGCACGAUCUCAGCUCACUGCAACCUCUGCCUCUGAGUUCAAGCGAUUCUCCUGCCUCAGCCUCCCAAGUAGCUGGGACUACAAGCAUGCGCCACCACACCCAGCUAAUUUUUGUAUUUUUAGUAGAAAUGGGGUUUCACUGUGUUGGUCAUGCCGGUCUCAAUCUCCUGACCUUGUGAUCCACCUGCUUCAGCCUCCCAAAGUGCUGGGAUUACAGGCAUGAGCCACCGUGCCCGGCCCAUAUUGGAUUCUUUCUUAGGGUUCUAGAUUUUUUUCUCCCUCCCCCAAAAAUGCCUAUUUUAAAAAUGUGAAUAACACCUACAUAGCGUUUUUCUGCAGAGUCAUGGAGUCAUUCUCCCACUGAGGUCAAGCUGGUUUGGAGUUGGGGAGGGAUCAGACAAAGGUGCAUAGUAAGUUUUGACUCUGAGUUAAAGGAGUCAAGAUGAAUCAGUAAGCCUAGGGCAGUGGUUCCCAAAAUGGGGUCCCUGCCCAGCCGCAUCACAUCACCUGAGAACCUGUUAGAAAUGCAAAACUUCCCCGCCAUCCUGAAUCAGAAACUCUGGGGAGGGAGCCCAGCAAUCCGUGUUCCGGCAAAAGCCCUCCAGGUGAUUCUCAUGCACAUUCAAGUGUCAGAACUACGUGCCACGGGGAAAACCAGAAUGAGAACAGACAGUGAAUGAAAUGUGCAAGUGUUUAUUUAUUUAUCUAUGUACUUAUUUAUUUAUUUAUUUUGAAACGGAGUCUCGCUCUGUCGCCCAGGCUGGAGUGCAGUGGCGCCAUCUCGGCUCACUGCAAGCUCCGCCUCCCGGGUUCAAGAGAUUUUCCUGCCUCAGCCUCCUGAGUUGCUGGGAUUACAGGCGCCCACCACCACGCCCAGCUAAUUUUUGUAUUUUUGGUAGAGACGGGGUUUCACCAUGUUGGCCAGGCUGGUCUCAAACUCCUGACCUCAGGUGAUCCGCCCAUCUUGGCCUCCCAAAGUGCUGGGAUUACAGGCGUGAGCCACCGCGCCUGGCCUAUAUUUGAUUUUUUAACAUGUAACUGAGUCAGUGGGCUUCCCAACAUGUGGGCUGCAGAUAUCAGAGCAGGCUGUGGAGUUACCAUAAGGCCACAGAUUCAUGUCUGAGAACGAGUGUGUGUGUGUGUGUGUGUGUGUGUUUGUUACACACACAUAUACUGAGAUCUUUCAAGUUUAUACAGUUGCUGCUGUAAUUAAUAAGGUAGAAAUUUAUUCUGGGCCUCAGUUUAUCUGUAAAAUGGAGGGGUUAGAUUAGAAUCUAGUGAUUAGAUGAUCUCUGGAAAACUUUCCUGUUCUAAGAAAAUAUUAGUUAAAAUAACUAGGAAAAUUUCCAUCAAUGACACAUGAUUACAGUGUCAUAACUCAUGUCCAUAUUGUCCAACACCCUAAGAGAGUAACAGUUUCUCACACUGGUACAGACGUCUGGGUCCUCACACUGGUACAGACGUCUGGGCUUCACUAAGCACUACUCCCUUGACUUGAUCAGCUCCCAUUUUACAGAUGAAAGCCUGAAACUGGAAAGAUGAAGCAACUUGCCCAAGAACUUAGCGUUACUGAGGGUCACAGUGAGGACCUGACUUCAGGCCCCAAGACCAAAAUUGCCUCUUUACCGCCCUGCCUCUAGAGUAAUAGAGGUGGAGACAUUCUGGGUGUUAGAAGAGUGGAAUCUGGUGCUUACGCUUCGACAGAGCCCACUCUUACUGAAGCAGCCGUAUCUCCAGCCCAUCAAGGAGAUGAGGAUAGCUGCAGUGAGUACCUGCAGGAGAGAGAAGAAUGUUGAGAUGGGGAAAUCGACUUUGCCGGCUGUUUCUAGGUGCUGCCCACAGCUGUUAGAGUGGCUGGCAGCUCACAUGAACGCAGUCCUGUUGACUCUGACUCUGGGGACCCACAUUUGUAUGACGAGCCUGAUCUAACGCUGUGGAUGUUAACUUUCACACCCGACCUGCCUGGUCCCAAGCUAGGCUUCCUGUCUCUUAGAGCUUCUACAGACCCAAGAUCAGCUUGUUAGAAUAAACUUUUCUGCAAGGAAUCAAAACACUCUUCCCAUGCCACCUUCCUGCUCCCCGCCGGGGUCUCUUUGAGAGUUCACGUUCAGGGAACCCCGGACACUUACCAUGAGGCCUCCUCCCCAGAGCCCAGUUCCCAGCAUGGCAUGCCUGCCAAGGAGGCCCCUCAACAGGUAGGUGACAUCCCAGUUAGGAAGGAGGAGUGCCACGUUGGCCCCAGCAGCAAACAGGGCUGCAGUCCCAAGGCUCAGUCCCAGGAUACGGGAGCAAGUCCGUGAGCUUGCCUGCGUGCAGGGAGAGGACACCAUCCUGGAACAGAUAGAAAGGGAGUCGCAGCAGCUCUGCUGUGGGGGGAUGGGGAAGGGAACUCCAGCAGCAUAUCAUGGGUGAGGGAAACAGACUACAGAAACCGCCACCUUCCAGGGUCAGACCAAUGAGAGCCAAGCAACCUGCUUAAAAACUCUGCUCCUUAGGAAUCUUCCCCAGUGACUAGGAUUUAAUUGUUUCCUUUUCUGCUAACCCCUGUUCACACAUACAUAGUUUGCAUUCCAUCAUAUUUUGUUUAUGCCUCUAUUACAGCCAGUGAUUAUUUCUGACAAAAAGAAAUGUUUAAAGGUGUCUUCAUGAUGUCCAUUGUCUCCACUUCUAUUCAACGUUGUACUGGUCCUGGCCAGUGCAAUACGAAAAUAAAAGGAAGCAAAAGCCACACAGAUAGGAAAGAAAGAAGUAAUAUUGUCGGCCAGGCAUGGUGGCUCAGGCCUGUAAUCCCAGCACUUUGGGAGGCUGAGGCAGGCGGAUCACGAGGUCAGGAGUUCAAGACCAGCCUGGCCAACAUGGUGAAACCCCGUCUCUACUAAAAAUACAAAAAUUAGCUGGGCACGGUGGUGGGUGCCUGUAAUCCCAGCUACUGGGGAGACUGAGGCAGGAGAAUUGCUUGAACCCGGGAGGCAGAGGUUGCAGUGAGCUGAGAUCAUGCCACUGCACUCCAGCCUGGGUGACACAGCAAGACUCCAUCUUAAAAAAAAAAAAAAGUAACAUUGUUAUUAUUCACAGAUAAUGUGAUCACAUUAUGUAGAAAAUCCUAAAGUUUAUUAGAAUUAACAGGUGAGUUUAGCAACGUCAUAGAAUAAAAGAUUAAUAUACAAAAAUUAUAUUGUAUUUCUAUAUACAAGCAAUGACAAAUUGAGGAUUGAAAUUAAAAUAUAUCAUUUACAAUAGCAUAAAAAUAUAAUACAUAUGGAUGAAUUUAACAAAAUAUUUGCAAGACCUAUAUAGUAAGAAUUGCAAAGCAUUGCUGAGAAAAUUAAUGGAGACCUAAAUAAAUGGAGACAUAUACCAUGUUCCUGAACCAGAAGACUCAAAAUAGUUAACAUGUUCUCCCUAAAUUGAUGCAAAGAUUUAAAGCAAUAUCAGUCAAAAUCCUAGGAGAGUUUUGUUAUAGAAAUUGACAAACUGAAUCUAAAUUUAUAUGGAAAUGCAAAGCAAUUGUGAAGAUUAGCCAAAGCAAUUCUGAAAAACAAACAAAGCUGGAGAACUUACGCCAUGUGAUUUCAAGACUUACAAAGCUACAGUAAUUGAAGACACUGAAGCCACGCGUAAGGAAACACAUAUGGACUACUGGAACAGGCUGGAGCUCAGAAACAGACCCGGUCCAGGAAAAAUGAUUUUUUUUUUUUCUUGAGACGGAGUCUCGCUCUGUUGCUCAGGCUGGAGUGCAGUGGCGCGAUCUCAGCUCACUGCAACCUCUGCCUCCCAGGUUCAAGCGAUUCUCCUGCCUCAGCCUCCCAAGUAGCUGGGAUUACAGGUGCCCGCCACCAUGCCCGGUAAUUUUUUGUAUUUUUAGUAGAGACGGGGUUUCACCGUGUUAGCCAGGACGGUCUUGAUCUCCUGACCUCGUGAUCCGCCUGUCUCGGGCUCCCAAAGUGCUGGGAUUACAGGCAUGAGCCACCGCGCCCGGCCAAUAAAUGAUUUUUUAAGAAGAUGACAAUUCAGCGGGAAAAAGUCUCUUCCACAAAUGGUGCCGGAACAAUGCACAUGCAAAACAAAACUGCCUUCACUAUUACUUCACAACAUAUUCAAAAAUUCACUUGAAAUGGAGCAUGGGUCUAAAAGCUUUAUAAAAUUUCUAGAAUAAAACAAAGGAGAAAAACACUGGGACCUUGGGUUAGAUAAAGGUUUCUUACUAAAAUGCAAAAAGUACAAUCCACAAAACAUGAUUAAUCAGACUGCUUAAAAAUUUAAAUGUCAGCUGGGUGCUUGCCUAUAAUCCCAGCUACUCGGAGGUUGAGGCAGGAAAAUCGCUUGAACCCAGGAGGCAGAGGCUGCAGUGAGCUGAGAUCGCGCCACUGCACUUCAGCCUGGGCGACAAGAGCAAGCGACUCCAUCUAAAAAAAAAAAAUCAUGCUAAAAGAAAUAAGCCAGACACUAAAGGACAAAUAUUGUAUGAUUCCACUUAUAUGAAAUAUUCAAAAUAACAACUUUAUAGAGAAAGAAAGUAGACUGGAGGUUAUCAGGGACUGUGGGGAGGGAGGAGAGAAUGGGGAGUUAUUGUUUAAUGGUUACAGAGGUUUUCAGGUUUUGUUUUGUGUUGUUUUGUUUUUUUUUUUUGAGACAGAGUCUUGCUCUGUCAGCCAGGCUGGAGUGCAGUGGCGCAAUCUCAGCUCACUGCAACCUCUGCCUCCUGGGCUCAAGCAAUUCUCCUGCCUCAGCCUCCCAAGUAGCUGGGACUACAGGCAUGUGCCACCACGCCUGGCUAAUUUUUGUAUUUUUAGUAGAGACAGGGUUUCACUAUGUUGGCCAGGCUGGUCUUGAACUCCUGACCUCAGGUGAUCUGCCCGCCUCGGCCUCCCACCGCGCGCGGUGGUUUUGGGGUUUUUUUAGAGAUGCAGUCUCACUAUGUUACCCCAGCUGGUCUUCAACUCCUGGACUCAAAUGAUCCUCCAGCCCGUGCCUCCAGAGUAGCUAUGACCAGAUCUGGGCCACUGCCCACGGUUUAAGGGUUACAGACUUUCUGUUUGGGGUGAAGAAAAGUUUUGGAAAUAGAUAAUGGUAAUGGUUGCACAUCAUUGCAAAUGUAAUUAAUGUCACUGAAUUAUACACUUUAAAAUGGUUAAAAUGACAAAUCUGAUGUUACUUUACCACAAUAAAAAAUCAAUUAAAAAAUUUGUGAUUACUCAAAUCCUUAUCAGUAAUCAAUAGGUGAAUCAAGACAAAUUGUGUUAUCCAUACAAAUGAGUUCUAUUAGGUAAUAAAAUGCGUAAAUUUCUGCUACAUAUAACAUGGAUGAAUCUCAAAAGCAUUGUGUUAAGUGGAAGAAGCCAGAAACAAAAGACUACUCACAUGUUUCUAUAUAUACGAAAUUCUAGAAAAGGCAAAACUUUUAACGGAGAGCAGAUGAGCGGUUGCCAUGGGCUGAGAAUGGGAAAGAGGAUUAGUAUGGGGCAUGGGAAGCUUUCUGAAGGGGUGGAAGCAUUCUGUGUCUAGAUUCUGGUGGUGAAUACAUAACUGUACAUAUUGACAAAACUCAUUAAACUUUGCACUUAAAAUAGGUGAAUUUUAUUGAAUUUUAACUAUAUAUCAAUAAAGCUAAUUACAAUUAAAAUGUCAUAUCUAGAUAAAUUAUAAAAUGCCUCUUCCACUCCUUAUGUUCCUCUCUUUUAUAUUUUCAUUGAUAUGUGAACUUCUUGUUUUUUAGAAAAAUAUGAAUUAAGGCCGGGCACGGUGACUUACACCUGUAAUCCCAGCACUUUGGGAGGCCAAGGCAGGUGGAUCGCCUGAUGUCAGGAGUUUGAGAUAAGCCUGGUCAACAUGGUGAAACCGUGUCUCUAUUAAAAAAUACAAAAAAAUUGCUGGACGUGGUGGCAGGCACCUGUAAUCCCAGCUACUCGGGUGGCUGAGGCAGCAGAAUCGCUUGAGCCCAGGAGGCAGAAGUUGCAGUGAGCAGAGAUCGUGCCAUUGCACUCCAGCCCAGGAAACAAGAGUGAAGCUCUAUCUAAAAAAAAAAUAUAUAUAUAUACAUAUAUAUAUGAAUUAAAAUAGGACUAGUAAUAUUUGGGCAGACUCAUGUCAAUGUGGAUCUGAAAAAAGUCAGCGUCAUGACAUCCCCAGGAAGUGGCCUGUUCCCACUGUGCAGUUCAGUUACACGUCUGUCUCCCCUUAAGGCUCGCUAUUUAUUUAUUUAUUUAAUUUAUUUAUUUAUUUUUUAUUGAAAAAAAUUUAUUUUUAGCCGGGUGCAGUGGCUCACGCCUGUAAUCCCAGCACUUUGGGAGGCCAAAGCCGGCAGAUCACCUGAGGUCAGGAGUUCAAGACCAGCCUGGCCAUCAUGACGAAACCCCAUCUCUACUAAAAAUACAAAACUAGCCGGGCGUGGUGGCGCAUGCCUGUAAUCCCAGCUACUCGGAAGGCUGAGGCAGGAGAAUCACUUGAACCCGGGAGGUGGAGGUUGCAGUGAGCCGAGAUUACGCCACUGCACUCCAGCCUGGACAACAAGAGUGAAACUCCGUCUCAGAAGAAAAAAAAAUGUAAUAGAGGUGAGGUCUCCUUAUGUGGCCCAGGCUGGUCUCAAACUCCUUGGCUCAAGGGCCCUCCCACUUCAGACACCUAAAGUGCUAGGAUGACAGGCGUGAGCCACUGCACUUGGCCACUUGAGGCUCUUGACACGCCUAUAACACACUGCUUUGCACCUAAUCAGAAAAUAUGUGUAUAGAGGCCAGGCACGGUGGCUCACGCCUGUAACCCCAGCACUUUGGGAGGCUGAGGUGGGUGGAUCACGAGGUCAGGAGUUUCCGACCAACCUGGCCAACAUGGUGAAACCCCGUCUCUACUAAAAAUACAAAAAAAUUAGCUGGGCAUGGUGGCGGGUGCCUGUGGUCCCAGCUACUCGGGAGGCUGAGGCAGUAGAAUGGCGUGAACCUGGGGGGCUGAGAUCACGCCAGUGCACUCCAGCCUGGGCAAGAGAGUGAGAUUCGGUCUCAAAAAAAAAAAAUUAACUGCGUGGUGGUGUGCGCCUGUAAUCCAAGCUACUCAGGAGCUUGAGGCAGGAGAAUCGCUUGAGCCCGAGAGGCAGAGGUGGCAGUGAGCCCAGAUCACGCCACUGCACUCCAGCCUGGGUGACAGAGCAAAAGAGAGAGAGAGAGAGGAGGGAGAGAGGGAGGGAGGGAGGGAGGAAGGAAGAAAGGAAAGGAAGGAAGGAAAGAGGAAGGGGAAGGGGAAGGGAAGAAAAAAAAUAUAUAUAUAUAUAAAAGAUAUGGAUCAGAGGCUCUAUAUAUAUGCACACACACAUAUAUAUCAUAUACAUAUAAUGUAUAAUGUGCGUAUAUAUGUGUGUACGUACACACACACACACACACAAUAGUCCCCCAUAUCUGCAGGGGAUAUGUUCCAAGAGCUCCAGCGGAUACCUGAAACCACAGAUCAUACCAAACUCUGUAUAUUCAGAUGCUUCUCCACUUAUGAUGGGGUCGAACUCCUAUAAACCCGUUGUAAGUCAAAAUAUCCUAAGUUCAAAAGGCAUUUAAUGCUGGCAACACAGUAGACUGUCCCUGACUCACAAUGGUUCAACUUACAAUUUUUUUUUUUUUUUUUUUUUUGAGACAGGGUCUUGCUCUGUCACCCAGGCUGGAGUGCAGUAGCACAAUCAUUGUUCACUGCAGCCCUGAUCUGGGCUCAAGUGAUCCUCCCACCUCAGUCUCUCGGAUAGCUGAGACCGCAGGCAUGCGCCACCAUACCUGGCUAAUGUUUUAGUUCUAUAGAGACAGGGUCUCACUAUGUUGCCCAAGCUGAUCUCAAACUCCUGGCCUCAAGUGAUCCUCUCACCUCCACCUCCCAAAAUGUUGGGAUUACAGGCGUAAGCCACCACGCCCAGUCCCAAUUUACUUUUGACUUUGUGAUGGUGCAAAAGCAAUGAGUAUUCAGUAGAAACCGUAAUCCCAUCAUAAAGGGUAAGGAGUUCACUGAUGAUGGAGUUAGGUCCCUAGAAACCUGUCGUAAAGUUGGAAACUUAGAAGUCAAACCACUAUAAGUAGAGGACUGUCUGUACUAUGCUUUUUCCUAUACAUACAUAUCUGUAAUAAAGUUUAAUUUAUAAAUCAGGCAUAGUAAGAAGUUCGCAACAAUAAUAAUAAAAUAGAACAGUUAUAACAACAUACUGUAAUGAAAGUUAUGUGAAUGUGGUCUUUCUCAUUGAAAAUAUUUUAUGUAAGUUUUUUGAACUGCAGUUGACCACAGAUAGCUAAAACUUUGGAAAGCAAAGCUUCAGUUAAGGGGGGAUUACUUUACAUCACACAUAAAUAAUGAAAUAUUUCACAGCAUGAAGAAUUAAACAUUGGGGGAGGGCCAGGGCUGAAAAACUAUCUGUAGGUACCGCGCUCACUACCUGAGUGACGGGAAUCACUCAUACCCUAACCUCAACAUCACACAAUAGACACGGAACAAGCCUGUAUAUGUAUCCCCGGAUCUAAAAUAAAAGUUGAAAUUAUAUUUUUAAAAUUUGCAUUAAAGGCCAGGUGCAGUAGUUCACGCCUAUAAUCCCAGCACUGUGGGAGGCCGAGGCGGGUGGAUCACUUGAGGUCAGGAGUUCAAGACAGCCUGGCCAACCUGGCGAAACCUCAUCUCUACUAAAAAUACAAAACUUAGCUGGGAAUGGUGGUGUGCGCCUGUAAUCCCAGCUACUCAGGAGGCUGAGGCAGAAGAAUCACUUGAACCUGGGAGGCAGAGGUUGCAGUGAGCCAAGAUCGCACCACUGCACUCCAGCCUGGACCACAGAUCGAGACUCCGUCUCAAAAAAAAAAAAUUGCAUUAAAAAAGAAUUAAACAUAAUGUGUAAAAUAUAUUUGUAACUUGUGUGAGAUAAUUAACACCCAUGUAAACACAACCAAUAUCAAACAUACGUCAUUACCCAUCACAUCACUGACACUCAGGUGUGCCCUCUCCAAUCCUGCCUUCUUUCUGGAUUCCUUCCUAGGAACUACUAUCCUAUAUUUCAUCUUCAACAUAUCCUUUUAAAAACAGUUUUACGACUUAGGAACUCAGAAUUGUUUUAGAAACUUGUUUAGUCGGGUGUUUUCCAUUUUUCAAGACUGUAGCUUUUCUUUUCUUUUUCUUUUUUUUUUUGAGAUGGAGUCUUGCUCUGUCUCCCAGGCUGGAGCUCAGAAACAGACCCGGUCCAGGAUAAAUAAUUUUUUUUUUUCUUGAGACAGAGUCUCACUCUGUCGCUCAGGCUGGAGUGCAGUGGCGCGAUCUCAGCUCACUGCAACCUCCGCCUCCCCGGUUCAAGCGAUUGUUCUGCCUCAGACUCCCCAGUAGCUGGGACUACAGCUGCACACCACCAUGCCCGGCUAAUUUUUGUAUUUUUAGUAAAGACAGGGUUUCACCAUGUUGGCCAGGCUGGUCUUGAACUCCUGGUCUCAAGUGAUCCUCCUGCCUCGGUUUCCCAAAGUGCUGGAAUUACAGGUGUGAGCCACCAAACCCGGCCAGACUGUAGCUUAUGGUAAAGAAGACAAGGGGAGGGGUGCCCUGGGAGGGUGGGGGUAGGAGAGAGGAAGGGUGCCCUGAGAAGGUGGGGGUUAGGAGAAGGGAGGGGUGCACUGGGAGGGUGGGUGUAGGAGAGGGAAGGGUGCCCUGAGAAGGUGGGGGUUAGGAGAAGGGAGGGGUGCACUGGGAGGGUGGGUGUAGGAGAGGGAAGGGUGCCCUGAGAAGGUGGGGGUUAGGAGAAGGGAGGGGUGCACUGGGAGGGUGGGUGUAGGAGAGGGAAGGGAUGCCCUGAGAAGGUGGGGGUUAGGAGAAGGGAGGGGUGCACUGGGAGGGUGGGGGUAGGAGAGGGAAGGGAUGCCCUGAGAAGGUGGGGGUUGGAGAGGGGAGGGGUGCUCUGGGAGGGUGGGGGUAGGAGAGGGGAGAGGUGCCCUGGGAGGGUGGCCAGAGGACAGGGGAGGAGUGCACAGGGAGAGUGGGGGUAGGAGAGGGGAGGGAUGCACGGGGAGGGUGGAGGUAGCAGAGGG